CAGUCGACGCAUCAUGGUAUUGAUUGGUGCUUGCAUCAUGAUUUACAUUUGAGUGACUGGCGAACUGGUGAGUAACACGUGGGAAACCUGCCCAGAAGCGGGGGAUAACACCUGGAAACAGAUGCUAAUACCGCAUAACAACUUGGACCGCAUGGUCCGAGUUUGAAAGAUGGCUUCGGCUAUCACUUUUGGAUGGUCCCGCGGCGUAUUAGCUAGAUGGUGGGGUAACGGCUCACCAUGGCAAUGAUACGUAGCCGACCUGAGAGGGUAAUCGGCCACAUUGGGACUGAGACACGGCCCAAACUCCUACGGGAGGCAGCAGUAGGGAAUCUUCCACAAUGGACGAAAGUCUGAUGGAGCAACGCCGCGUGAGUGAAGAAGGGUUUCGGCUCGUAAAACUCUGUUGUUAAAGAAGAACAUAUCUGAGAGUAACUGUUCAGGUAUUGACGGUAUUUAACCAGAAAGCCACGGCUAACUACGUGCCAGCAGCCGCGGUAAUACGUAGGUGGCAAGCGUUGUCCGGAUUUAUUGGGCGUAAAGCGAGCGCAGGCGGUUUUUUAAGUCUGAUGUGAAAGCCUUCGGCUCAACCGAAGAAGUGCAUCGGAAACUGGGAAACUUGAGUGCAGAAGAGGACAGUGGAACUCCAUGUGUAGCGGUGAAAUGCGUAGAUAUAUGGAAGAACACCAGUGGCGAANGCGGCUGUCUGGUCUGUAACUGACGCUGANGCUCGAAAGUAUGGGUAGCAAACAGGAUUAGAUACCCUGGUAGUCCAUACCGUAAACGAUGAAUGCUAAGUGUUGGAGGGUUUCCGCCCUUCAGUGCUGCAGCUAACGCAUUAAGCAUUCCGCCUGGGGAGUACGGCCGCAAGGCUGAACUCAAGGAAUUGACGGGGCCGCACAGCGGUGGAGCAUG
rnacentral:rRNA from 1 species